AUGCAGAAGUUACAGACAAGAAGAGGGAAAAGGAUACUUAAACACUUCUUACGUCAAUAUCGAGACCUGGUAGGAUAGCGCCAUUUGACUGAACUGACGAUACUAGAGAUAUCUUUAAUAUAAACCUUACAAGAAUAUUAUUUCAAAUUGGCGCAUACUUUAAGAUGAAGCUGUGCCCUCACAAUUACUAGGCCAGACAUUGAAAAUAUAUUCAUUAUUGACUAGGUGAAUUACUUCUAGAUAUUUUUGAUUCCAAAAAACGUAAUUUAAAAAGAACGAAUGAAGUUUCAACUAAUUGCACAAUAUUUUAAGAAUAAGAAAAAUAUACUACUUUAAAACACUUCUCGUUAUGUAGCUUCCAAACGAUUUACCCAAAAGAAGUGAAUGGAAGAACGGGAAGUUUCCAGCGGUGGGGUUCAACGAUGGAUCAAAGCAUGAAAAUGGACAAUGAUAUGACAAUGAAACAAUCAAUUGAGAACUUUUCCUCCAGUUUUUCAGAUUCGGAGAGGCAGGCGGCUAUAAAAUUCUUUCAAUAAUGAUUUACUUAAUCCAAAUUGAUCAACAGCUGGACAACUCUAGUAUCUUAGUUGGCUGCUGUAAAU